UCGAUUCUCUUCCCCGUGCGUUGGCUAUGGCGAGCUCGGGCCCUCCGUAUCCAUGGGAGCCUCCCACGAACAUCCCCAUCCAUGGCCCAAGCCCUAAGCGCUGGCAAGUUCUAACGGGGCGCUACAUGUGUGCGGUGAUGUGGUUUUGGAUCUUCUAUCGAUUCAAAGAAGACGGCGAUGUGCUGCUGGGAUUUCGUCACAAAUGGGAACCCAGAGGAGGAGGUGGUCAUCACUGAUCUAAACUUGGGCGGAAUAAGCAGUGAUCUUUCUAGUUUGUACCUUUUGAUGCUCUGGAAUUUCAAAAGCUUUCCAAUUGCCAGGAGAACAAA